GCGUUUGUGGUUUAGUGGUAAAAUCCAUCGUUGCCAUAUAUCAUAAGAAAUUCCGAUUCAGUACUCGAUGGGCCCCGGGUUCGAUUCCCGGCGAACGCA